rnacentral:rRNA from 1 species
UACGUAGGGGGCUAGCGUUGUCCGGAUUUAUUGGGCGUAAAGGGCGCGUAGGCGGCCUGUUAAGUCGAACGUGAAAUCCCCGGGCUCAACCCGGGAACUGCGUCCGAUACUGGCAGGCUUGAAUCCGGGAGAGGGAUGCGGAAUUCCAGGUGUAGCGGUGAAAUGCGUAGAUAUCUGGAGGAACACCGGUGGCGAAGGCGGCAUCCUGGACCGGCAUUGACGCUGAGGCGCGAAAGCCAGGGGAGCAAACGGGG